rnacentral:rRNA from 1 species
UACGUAGGGGGCAAGCGUUGUCCGGAUUUAUUGGGCGUAAAGAGCGUGUAGGCGGCUAGAUAGGUCCGUUGUGAAAACUCGAGGCUCAACCUCGAGACGCCGGUGGAAACCAUCUAGCUAGAGUCCGGAAGAGGAGAGUGGAAUUCCUGGUGUAGCGGUGAAAUGCGCAGAUAUCAGGAAGAACACCCGUGGCGAAGGCGGCUCUCUGGGACGUGACUGACGCUGAGGAGCGAAAGCAUGGGUAGCAAACAGG